rnacentral:rRNA from 1 species
GGGUUGUGAGGUUAAGCGACUAAGCGUACACGGUGGAUGCCCUGGCAGUCAGAGGCGAUGAAGGACGUGCUAAUCUGCGAUAAGCGUCGGUGAGGUGAUAUGAACCGUUAUAACCGGCGAUUUCCGAAUGGGGAAACCCAGUGUGUUUCGACACACUAUCAUUAACUGAAUCCAUAGGUUAAUGAGGCGAACCGGGGGAACUGAAACAUCUAAGUACCCCGAGGAAAAGAAAUCAACCGAGAUUCCCCCAGUAGCGGCGAGCGAACGGGGAGGAGCCCAGAGCCUGAAUCAGUGUGUGUGUUAGUGGAAGCGUCUGGAAAGGCGUGCGAUACAGGGUGACAGCCCCGUACACAAAAAUGCACAUAUUGUGAGCUCGAUGAGUAGGGCGGGACACGUGGUAUCCUGUCUGAAUAUGGGGGGACCAUCCUCCAAGGCUAAAUACUCCUGACUGACCGAUAGUGAACCAGUACCGUGAGGGAAAGGCGAAAAGAACCCCGGCGAGGGGAGUGAAAAAGAACCUGAAACCGUGUACGUACAAGCAGUGGGAGCCUCUUAAUGGGGUGACUGCGUACCUUUUGUAUAAUGGGUCAGCGACUUAUAUUCUGUAGCAAGGUUAACCGAAUAGGGGAGCCGAAGGGAAACCGAGUCUUAACUGGGCGUUAAGUUGCAGGGUAUAGACCCGAAACCCGGUGAUCUAGCCAUGGGCAGGUUGAAGGUUGGGUAACACUAACUGGAGGACCGAACCGACUAAUGUUGAAAAAUUAGCGGAUGACUUGUGGCUGGGGGUGAAAGGCCAAUCAAACCGGGAGAUAGCUGGUUCUCCCCGAAAGCUAUUUAGGUAGCGCCUCGUGAAUUCAUCUCCGGGGGUAGAGCACUGUUUCGGCAAGGGGGUCAUCCCGACUUACCAACCCGAUGCAAACUGCGAAUACCGGAGAAUGUUAUCACGGGAGACACACGGCGGGUGCUAACGUCCGUCGUGAAGAGGGAAACAACCCAGACCGCCAGCUAAGGUCCCAAAGUCAUGGUUAAGUGGGAAACGAUGUGGGAAGGCCCAGACAGCCAGGAUGUUGGCUUAGAAGCAGCCAUCAUUUAAAGAAAGCGUAAUAGCUCACUGGUCGAGUCGGCCUGCGCGGAAGAUGUAACGGGGCUAAACCAUGCACCGAAGCUGCGGCAGCGACACUAUGUGUUGUUGGGUAGGGGAGCGUUCUGUAAGCCUGUGAAGGUGGCCUGUGAGGGUUGCUGGAGGUAUCAGAAGUGCGAAUGCUGACAUAAGUAACGAUAAAGCGGGUGAAAAGCCCGCUCGCCGGAAGACCAAGGGUUCCUGUCCAACGUU